rnacentral:rRNA from 1 species
GGUUAAGCGACUAAGCGUACACGGUGGAUGCCCUGGCAGUCAGAGGCGAUGAAGGACGUGCUAAUCUGCGAAAAGCGCCGGCGAGGUGAUAUGAACCUUUGACCCGGCGAUGUCCGAAUGGGGAAACCCAGUGUGUUCCGACACACUAUCGUUAACUGAAUACAUAGGUUAACGAGGCGAACCGGGGGAACUGAAACAUCUAAGUACCCCGAGGAAAAGAAAUCAACCGAGAUUCCCCCAGUAGCGGCGAGCGAACGGGGAGCAGCCCAGAGUCUGAAUCAGCUUGUGUGUUAGUGGAAGCGUCUGGAAAGUCGCACGGUACAGGGUGACAGUCCCGUACACGAAAGCACACAGGUUGUGAACUCGAAGAGUAGGGCGGGACACGUGGUAUCCUGUCUGAAUAUGGGGGGACCAUCCUCCAAGGCUAAAUACUCCUGACUGACCGAUAGUGAACCAGUACCGUGAGGGAAAGGCGAAAAGAACCCCGGCGAGGGGAGUGAAAAAGAACCUGAAACCGUGUACGUACAAGCAGUGGGAGCCUCUUUUAUGGGGUGACUGCGUACCUUUUGUAUAAUGGGUCAGCGACUUAUAUUCUGUAGCAAGGUUAACCGUAUAGGGGAGCCGAAGGGAAACCGAGUCUUAACUGGGCGUUAAGUUGCAGGGUAUAGACCCGAAACCCGGUGAUCUAGCCAUGGGCAGGUUGAAGGUUGGGUAACACUAACUGGAGGACCGAACCGACUAAUGUUGAAAAAUUAGCGGAUGACUUGUGGCUGGGGGUGAAAGGCCAAUCAAACCGGGAGAUAGCUGGUUCUCCCCGAAAGCUAUUUAGGUAGCGCCUCGUGAACUCAUCUUCGGGGGUAGAGCACUGUUUCGGCUAGGGGGCCAUCCCGGCUUACCAACCCGAUGCAAACUACGAAUACCGAAGAAUGUUAUCACGGGAGACACACGGCGGGUGCUAACGUCCGUCGUGAAGAGGGAAACAACCCAGACCGCCAGCUAAGGUCCCAAAGUCAUGGUUAAGUGGGAAACGAUGUGGGAAGGCACAGACAGCCAGGAUGUUGGCUUAGAAGCAGCCAUCAUUUAAAGAAAGCGUAAUAGCUCACUGGUCGAGUCGGCCUGCGCGGAAGAUGUAACGGGGCUAAACCAUGCACCGAAGCUGCGGCAGCGACGCUUAUGCGUUGUUGGGUAGGGGAGCGUUCUGUAAGCCGUUGAAGGUGUCCUGUGAGGGGUGCUGGAGGUAUCAGAAGUGCGAAUGCUGACAUAAGUAACGAUAAAGCGGGUGAAAAGCCCGCUCGCCGGAAGACCAAGGGUUCCUGUCCAACGUUAAUCGGGGCAGGGUGAGUCGACCCCUAAGGCGAGGCCGAAAGGCGUAGUCGAUGGGAAACAGGUUAAUAUUCCUGUACUUGGUGUUACUGCGAAGGGGGGACGGAGAAGGCUAUGUUAGCCGGGCGACGGUUGUCCCGGUUUAAGCAUGUAGGCGGA